AUCUCUCCGGAAAACCUCUCUCCCCUGCUCAGUGGUCAGCUCUGGUCUUCAUCCUACUGACAUCAGAAGAGGAGCUGGACGUGUUUGACCUGAAAAAAUACUCUGCAUCAGAAGAUGGUCUUCUGAGGCUGCUGCCAGUGGUCAAAGCCUCCAAAACAUCUCUGCUGAAUGGCUGUCAUCUGUCAGAGAGAUGCUGUGAAGCUCUGGCCUCAGUUCUCAGCUCCAACUCCUCUAGUCUGAGAGAGCUGGACCUGAGUACCAAUGAUCUGCAGGAUUCAGGAGUGAAGCUGCUCUCUGCUGAACUGGGGAGUCCACACUGUACACUGGAAACUCUCAGGUCAGUUUUCAGCCUCUUCAAACUGUGUCUUGGGGUUGUUUAAUAUGUAACUCUGGACCGCUGAUGUGAGGGUUAGGGGUUGACCUGUUAACUACUAGUAUGUUAUGUUUGUUAUCUGUUAUGUAGCUCUGGCAGGCUGAUGUUAGGACAUGGGGAUGAGGCUUUAGCCGUGCUGUGAUCUGAAUAUAAUGUACACCUCACCAUAGAACAUCACUGGCCGUGGUAAAGUGAUUGAACAUUAAAGAUGGACUUUAUUAACUUCACAUUAGUUUGGUGUAGUGCUGCUCAUGUCCGAUGCCUUUCUGUUGCUCUUUUGCCUGCUGACAAAACUCUCCCUGGUUCUACACAUUGUUGGAAACUGUGAAGAAAAGGUCUCAGCGUACCAUAGACAGCGGACUUCUCCUG